rnacentral:lncRNA from 1 species
AUCAAGGUCUAUCUUCUGGACCAUAAGAGGAAAAACACCAAGAUUCCUCCCGGCAAUGUCUCUCGAUGUUACUGUAUUCCUUGACAUGAGCGCUAAGACCAGGCAAAGACUGCAGUCAUAUAAACACCGCAUUUAUAAUACAUCAUCUUUUUUGUGUAUUUCAGUGUUGUGGGGCAUUUGUUCCCUCAUUUCCUAAAAGUCCCAAGACUUCUUGUGUUUGCGUUUCAAUGUUUCGGCCCUCUAACCACGAGGGGUGCAGUACGCUAUGGAUAUGGAGGAUGACAGAAGAAUUUUCUGAACCAACCAAGUGUUGUAGCCAAGUGAAAAAAUGGAGAAGAAACAGUCACAAUCCUGGAAAAGGAAAAAACAGCCAAAAGACAGAGCAAUGAGGACAAUCAUUUCUGCUUCGGAUUGGAUUUUGAAUUUGUAUUGUUCAGAAAAUCAAAUGGUUUCAAUUAUUAGUGCUAACGUAAAAGCUCUCCACGCCAGAUUACAGUGGAGUAUUCAAAAACCUCCCGCUAGGUGGAGGGCUUUUAUGCAAAUGAGGGAUGCUGAUUAUGCUUUUUCAUUGGUUACUUGAAAAGAGCCAAUGGGAGACUUGUAUUCAGCAUACCUGCCGUUAGUAUAAAUACUUCUCUUGCUCUCAGUCUAACUGUAUACUGCUCGCGUUUUCUUUUGAAGGCGUUUGCUUCCUUUUCUGCUGGUGAUGUCUGGACGUGGAAAGCAGGGUGGCAAGGCUCGCGCCAAGGCCAAGACCCGUUCGUCGCGGGCCGGGCUGCAGUUCCCGCGACAACAAGAAGACGCGCAUCAUCCCGCGCCACCUGCAGCUGGCCAUCCGCAACGACGAGGAGCUCAACAAGCUGCUGGGCCGCGUCACCAUCGCGCAGGGCGGCGUCCUGCCCAACAUCCAGGCCGUGCUGCUGCCCAAGAAGACCGAGAGCCACCACAAGGCCAAGGGCAAAUAAGCUGAUGACUUUUUUUUACACAGGCUUUUUUCCUGAUCAAGAUAAAGUCCGCUUAGCUACUUAAAAAGGCUCUUUUAAGAGCCACCCACAGUUUCUUUUGAAAGAGCUGUGCCUUGAACUAUUACCGUUUAAAAACAUGGGAGGUGAAAUGUCAUAAUUACACCUGGAAGGCUUUGCCCCCACAGAAAUGCUUUCACAGUUUUGAGGCUAAAACAACACGGGAAAUUAGUGUAAACGUUGCUAACUCCAUUGACCGUGUUUAACCGUGUAGGGCGCAUUUUUAGUCCAGAAAAGGGCAUUGCUAUGUUCCACAGAUGAAGUUUGAAAGUUUUUCGCAACGACAGUAGCUUGGAGAAGGAAAUAUAGUGAAAGUCCCUAGAUUAAGAUUCUUCAUUUUAUGGAACACAUCCAUUAAAAUCCCAGUUUGUGAAGGCAUGUUUGCUGAAGCAGUGAGGCUAAGUCCUAGUUCCUUGAUAAUUCAUGCUUGCAAACAAGGAGCAUUUUACUAACUCUCCACAAUAUUUGUGCCACGCCCAAGAAAAUUCUGAAUGUCAUUUUAGAGGCAGCCCAUGUAUUUACCUAAACACCUGCAGAAUAUCUUGAUGGUUUCUCUCUAAAAACAACAAAACAUCCAUUGGAAGUCCCUAUGUGGCUUUGCAUGAUUACCUUACUUUACACUUUAAAAUAUCUGCAGCUUUCUGUGCAAGAUUUUUGUUCACAGUGGAUAUAGGAACGAAAGGGUAAAUAAAUGACGUCAGAGUAACCA